rnacentral:tRNA from 1 species
GCCCGAGUAGCUCAGUCUGGAUAGAGCGCGUCCCUCCUAAGGACGAGGUCGAAGGUUCGAAUCCUUUCUCGGGCG